UGCCAGACUCCUACGGGAGGCAGCAGUGGGGGAUAUUGCACAAUGGGGGAAACCCUGAUGCAGCGACGCCGCGUGGGUGAAGAAGCGCCUCGGCGCGUAAAGCUCUAUCAGCAGGGAAGAAGAUGACGGUACCUGAGUAAGAAGCCCCGGCUAACUACGUGCCAGCAGCCGCGGUAAUACGUAGGGGGCAAGCGUUAUCCGGAUUUACUGGGUGUAAAGGGAGCGUAGACGGCGACGCAAGUCUGGAGUGAAAGCCCGGGGCCCAACCCCGGGACUGCUCUGGAAACUGCGGCGCUGGAGUACGGGAGGGGCAGGCGGAAUUCCUGGUGUAGCGGUGAAAUGCGUAGAUAUCAGGAGGAACACCGGCGGCGAAGGCGGCCUGCUGGACCGUGACUGACGUUGAGGCUCGAAAGCGUGGGGAGCAAACAGGAUUAGAUACCCGAGUAUC
rnacentral:rRNA from 1 species